GGAAGGAUGUACUUUUUGGGAAGGUAAGGCUGAUGCACUUAUAAGAUUAAAGCUAUUGGAAAUAAUGAAAAGCUGUGUCUGUAGCUUAGAUAUAAGCAUCUAGAAGAAAAAUAUGGAAGCACACAAGUGGAAUGAAUAUUUGAAGUAAUCCAGGUUCAAUCCUCUGCAGUUUUUAGUUGCAGUAGAAUUCAAAGGUUAGCAGUCCUGAAAGCAUUAAGUCCUUUUUUCUCUCUUCUUCUCUUUGUUAUGAGCUGCUUUAAAUUUGCAUUGUUAUUCUGUCAAAGUGCAGGGCAAGAUUCAGCUGGUGCAGGAUGUAUGGAGCAGACCUUUUUAAAGCCAGUGAAGUGCUUGAAUCAUGUCAUCCUCGUCCCAGCAUAAGAUGAUCCUAUAGAUCCUGGGUAGCGCUGAGAUUCGAGGAGAUCCAGAAGACCUGCAGCAUGAAUUGGAAGUACGUGUGGUCCCCUCCUGGAGCACUGCUGGGUGUAAGCUGAGCCCUGGAGCUGUCUGUAGGAAGCUGUGCUGGAGAGAGGUGCAGGGAUCCCAGGGGCAUCUGAUUUCCUGCUGCACCUUCUGCUCACACCCCCGAGAACUUCUGCCUUUCAGACCCCCCCAGGAACCACAUGCAGGAAUUUGCAGACAGGAGGUGGAAGUAUCCUUCCCUUCAGGAAUGAUGGGAGCCAUCUCUGUGAUGUGUAUUGAGAGUGUAGUGGCUGAGGGAUGUGCAGAAAGUCAAGCUGGGAGUGGAAGCACAGCCCCAAAAUGCAUGUGCACAGGUAAGGGGUGCCUGAACAUCACCUCCUUCAGAGGAAUCCAAUUCAUUAUUUGA
rnacentral:lncRNA from 1 species